CGCGCAGACCCAGGGGCGCCGCACACUGCACGGGCACCGGCUCGCCUGCGCCUCCGGCUACAACGCCCUCUGCUCGCGCUCGCCCCCGGGAGCGCCUGCCCUUCUCCCGCGCCCAGCUCGCGCCCUAGCCCCUCCGGGAGCCGUGCCCCCUUUUCCCCCUCGGCUUGCCGGGGACGGGCGCUGCUCGCAGCCACCCCCCCGCCCCCCGCCACCAGGAUGGAUGAGAACGGGCGACACAGCCAAAAGAGGGUUGACACAGCUCUCGUCCGCUCACGCCUCGUACUGAGCCUCUCGAGCCUCUUGAUCAAAGGUUUACCGUGUCCUUGGUAGACCGGGACCCAGCGAGCUUACCAACAGAACGGGGUUUCCAGCAAACCCACCGUGACAGCUCCUUCGGGGGCCAGGAACAGGAAGAAGAAGAAAUAAAACCUUGGACAGCUCCAGGGACUGGCCACUGAGAUUGGCGAGAAACCAAAACAACCUGGAAUGUUCCCUUCCUUGUUUGAUGAGAGUGGUUAUCUACUUUACAGGAUAAAAGUUCUCUGUGAGAAAGGUAAAAUACAACAAAUAGAGAAGAAAAAGAAAGAAA